GAUGAACGCUGGCGGCGUGCCUAAUACAUGCAAGUCGAGCGAACAGAUAAGGAGCUUGCUCCUUUGACGUUAGCGGCGGACGGGUGAGUAACACGUGGAUAACCUACCUAUAAGACUGGGAUAACUUCGGGAAACCGGAGCUAAUACCGGAUAACAUAUUGACCCGCAUGGUUCAAUAGUAAUAGCCGGCUUUGCUUUCACUUAUAGAUGGCUCCGCCCCGUAUUAGCUAGUUGGUAAGGUAACGGCUUACCAAUGCAACGAUACGUAGCCGACCUGAGAGAGUGAUCGCCCACACUGCAACUGAGACAGGGUCUAGACUCCAAAGGGAGGCAGCAGUCGGGAAUCCUCGGAAAUGGGCGAAAGCCUGACGGAGCAACGCCGCGUGAGUGAUGAAGGUCUUCGGGUCUUAAAACUCUGUUAUCAGGGAAGAACAAAUGUGUAAGUAACUGUGCACAUCUUGACGGUACCUUAUCAGAAAGCCACGGCUAACUACGUG
rnacentral:rRNA from 1 species